rnacentral:lncRNA from 1 species
GUGGUAUUUCUGGAUCCUUACCAAGGUAGUGAUGUUAUAUGCCUUCUCUCAAAGUAUGUGGUAUUUGUGGUAUGAGGAAUAGUGACAUUGCCUUCUCUCUUAUCCUACUCUAAUAAGGCUUUGAUAUCUGGAGCUCAUAGGUGGGAGAUAAAGUAUACAUACUUACAAGACAUUUAUUGCAUAGUCAAACUAUGGAUCCAAAGAAACAAGUCAAUAAGUCAAUAUCAAGAUGUGCAUAUGUGGCGAAUGAAUGGUGUAUGGUGAUGAUGGUGAUAAUGGUGAAAACAAUGGUGAAAGUCUAAUUCUACUUUUGCUCUUUUGAGGGGAUACAUACCUUCCUUGCACUUUGAAGCCUUUUGAGGAGAAUGAGAUGCUCUAUAUUUUUUCUUUUCUCUGAGGUGGGUUUAUUGAACCCCUAAUUCUACUGUCGGACACUUGUCCAUUUUUACCUCUCGUCUCACUUUUUCUUUUCUUCGAGGUUCCGGGCACUUGCCCCAUUUUAUUUCCUCAUAUUUUUCUUUUUUUAGAGCACUCAUCCUCUCGGAAUAAUAUAGCAAGUGGUAGUAACCAAAGUAUUUGGAGCAUUUAUUUCACAGGGAAUAACAGGGAUAGGAGAAUGUUUUUGGUUAUUCUCUCCCGGAUAGGAGUAGAAUAAUUUUGGGUGACUCUGGAGAUGAAAAUGAGUGGAUGUAUGUGGAUGCGUACUUCCGGAGUAGAAGCAACAUGUAUGAGUGAACGUGCAAGUGAAUCUUGAUUUUAACCGCAUGACAAGCUCCUAAGGGUCUACCCAGCUUGACCACACUCAAUGCUCAUAAGCAGUAAAAAGUAAAUGUAUGGUUCAUAGUCUAAUAAGCAUGUAUAUGUGGCUUUGGUAGGAUUUUAAACUCUCAACAUACAGGAACUCAUCAUGUAACAUUUAAAAGAUUUUCAAAGAUAAAAUUCUCCAGAAUUCUAGCAUCUCUAGAAACAGAUAAACAGCAGCUCAACCUUCCCAUAUCAUAUCCGCUAACGACUUAGACUUUUGAUCAGGUACUCUUCCCACAAGUUCAGGUUUUGAGCAAAUCUUAAUUCAUAAUAGUCAUGCCUAAACUUGAGAGAGAUUUCAAUUUUGAGAACUAGUCAUGGCAGAGCAACUAUUCAUCAUUUCCAUGUGAGAGCUUAUCAUGAGGGUUCAUAGCAAACUUUAUUUAUUUAUUUAUUUAGCAAACUAAGCAAAGAUAUACAUAUAUAUAUAUAAGCACAAAAUCUUUAUUUGGGUUUUUAUGAUUAUGCAUCUUUUUUAUUUGAGUAAAGUAUAAACAUGAGUAGAAACACUUAGCUGGAUAAAUGGGGGUGCUCUCCCCCAAGCUGGAUUUUGACGUAAUUUCUUCUGAUGUAGCUAGCACGUGGUGGUGUAUUUGAAUGUUGGCCGCACCGUGACAGCGAUUAGGAUGUCCUCCGUCUGCUAGUUUUCUUGAUCCUUAAAUUCUGUGGAGCUCAAAUAGACAACAAAGCUUUGUGGAACUAGUUAAGUGUUAACAUAAAUAUCUAGCCUUUAUCAUGUUGAGCCUCCUCAAUAAAUGUUAUUAUCUUUAGUAGGAUCAUAAUCUUAUUUUUAUAUUUUCCUUUUUAUAGGAUAGGAAUAUAUUUAUUUUAUUUUUACGCCACCACAGUGAAUGUACUUAUGGGUUUUAUGCCACGAGCAUACUCACAUGGGGCUUACUAUUUUUAAUAUUUUUAAUUUCUUUUCAAGAUAGCAUGAUUAACUAACAAGCUAUUUAAGGAAAGUAAAUAAUUUAAGGGAAAAGGGAAUACAGAAAGGAUAAAUAUGGAUAACUACCGAUUUUACCUUUCGGCGAGGGUUCAAUAUUUUAAGUCUUCUGAACAAGACUUCUCACCAUGUUCAUUCUUUAGGUGCGUCAUUUGAUUUAGGUGUGAACCUUGAUGUCUGCUCCUGUUGAUACGGUGUCACCCAUGUUCUUCGUUUGCCCGGCAGUUCAAAGUGCGGCGUUGGCAGCAUCUUGCUCAGUGUGCUUGUGCUCGUAGAUCUAGGUCCUUUACUUGGUGGAGUCUAGGAGUUGUAAAACUUCUCUAUGUUUUGCUCGAAGUGUACCUGCUCAUAGAGACAAGGCAGAGAUCAAGUGCAUGGGCCCUGUUGGUGGAAAACACCAACAAAACCAAAAGUGUAUUUGUUCUUCUCUAACCU